rnacentral:rRNA from 1 species
CCUACGGGAGGCAGCAGUAAGGAAUAUUGGUCAAUGGACGCAAGUCUGAACCAGCCAUGCCGCGUGAAGGAUUAAGGCCCUCUGGGUUGUAAACUUCUUUUAUAGGGGACGAAAAAAGGGCAUUCUUGCUCACUUGACGGUACCCUAGGAAUAAGCACCGGCUAACUCCGUGCCAGCAGCCGCGGUAAUACGGAGGGUGCAAGCGUUAUCCGGAUUUACUGGGUUUAAAGGGUGCGUAGGUGGGUUGGUAAGUCAGUGGUGAAAUCUUCGAGCUUAACUCGGAAACUGCCAUUGAUACUAUCAAUCUUGAAUCAUCUAGAGGUAAGCGGAAUAUGUCAUGUAGCGGUGAAAUGCUUAGAUAUGACAUAGAACACCAAUUGCGAAGGCAGCUUACUAUGGAUGCAUUGACACUGAGGCACGAAAGCGUGGGGAUCAAACAGGAUUAGAUACCCUGGUAGUCCCACGACCUAACCGACUAGAGUACUACGACAUUGUUGUAUAUACUAAUAAGUAGUNUGAGCGAAGACAUUAAGUUAAUACCUACCUACGGAAGGUACGACCGACGACGGUUAGUAACGUACGAAAGAAGUUAGUACGGACGUAGAGACGUAGACCGACGGACGACGACGAGGGAGGAGG